rnacentral:rRNA from 1 species
AUCAACUUUCGAUGGUAGGAUAGAGGCCUACCAUGGUGGUAACGGGUAACGGGGUGUUAGGGCACGACACCGGAGAGGGAGCCUGAGAAACGGCUACCACAUCCAAGGAUGGCAGCAGGCGCGCAAAUUACCCAAUCCCGACACGGGGAGGUAGUGACAAUAAAUAACAAUACGGGGCUCUUUAGGGUCUCGUAAUUGGAAUGAGUACAAUUUAAAUCUCUUAACGAGGAACAAUUGGAGGGCAAGUCUGGUGCCAGCAGCCGCGGUAAUUCCAGCUCCAAUAGCGUAUAUUAAAGUUGUUGCAGUUAAAAAGCUCGUAGUUGAAUUUCGGGAUCAGCAGGUUGGUCGUGCCUUUGGUAUGCACUGGUUUCGCUGAUUCCUCCUUUCUGAAGAACUGUAAUGUCAUUAAUUUGGUGUUGCAGGGAAACAGGACUGUUACUUUGAAAAAAUUAGAGUGUUUAAAGCAGGCUAACGCUUGAAUACAUUAGCAUGGAAUAAUGAAAUAGGACGUUUGAUCCUAUUUUGUUGGUUUCUAGGAUUGACGUAAUGAUUAAUAGGGAUAGUUGGGGGCAUUAGUAUUCAAUUGUCAGAGGUGAAAUUCUUGGAUUUAUUGAAGACUAACUACUGCGAAAGCAUUUGCCAAGGAUGUUUUCAUUAAUCAAGAACGAAGGUUAGGGGAUCGAAGACGAUCAGAUACCGUCGUAGUCUUAACCAUAAACUAUGCCGACUAGGGAUCGGAUGAUGUUAAUUUUUUAAUGACUCAUUCGGCGCCUUACGGGAAACCAAAGUGUUUGGGUUC